GGGGAUGCUUUGGUAUCGAUAAAGAUGGGUUGUGGACUUGCGAGCCGAGAUGUCUCUCUCGCUAAUCAGGGGCAAAAUUUUAACUGCGAACUCAAAAGUUCCUGCUCGGGCAUUCGCUUACGCGUAACACCGAGGAUCAGUACCCGCCGGGCCUCUUGGUGGGAUACCGGUCUUAUAUAAGGAGGCUCGCCAUGCAAAGUCCGCUUCGUACAAUGCUUGGCAAAAAAAUACGAAGCAAAAUUGUUUGACGCAAGUCAUUCUACGCUCGUAGACGAGUCCAUUGGUCCAUCUUUACACGAGGGUUCGAAUCCCUCCAUCUCCACAC
rnacentral:tmRNA from 1 species